GCAUUGGUAAUUCAGUGGUGGAAUGAUCGCUUGCCACUCAGACGACACCGGUUCGAUUCCCGGUCAGUGCA